AGUGAACGCUGGCGGUAGGCCUAACACAUGCAAGUCGAACGGCAGCACAGUAAUAGCUUGCUCUUACAGGUGGCGAGUGGCGGACGGGUGAGAAAUACAUCGGAAUCUACUUUUUCGUGGGUGAUAACGUAGGGACACUUACGCUAUUACCGCAUACGGACUACGGGUGAAAUCAGCGGAUCUUCGGCUCUUGCGCGAUUGAAUGACCCAAUGUCGGAUUAGCUAGUUGGCGGGGUAAAGGCCCACCAAGGCGACGAUCCGUAGCUGGUCUGAGAGGAUGAUCAGCCACACUGGAACUGAGACACGGUCCAGACUCCUACGGGAGGCAGCAGUGGGGAAUAUUGGACAAUGGGCGCAAGCCUGAUCCAGCCAUACCGCGUGGGUGAAGAAGGCCUUCGGAUUGUAAAGCCCUUUUGUUGGGGAAGAAAAGCAGCAGGUUAAUACCCCGCUGUUCUGACGGUACCAAAAGAAUAAGCACCGGCUAACUUCGUG
rnacentral:rRNA from 1 species